rnacentral:lncRNA from 1 species
UGGUUGUUAUCUCGUCGUAACUUGUUAAUCCCUCGAAGAAGGUAAAACGACGAAGCGGAUGCUGCGUACGAAGAGAGUUACGCGAUUAAGAAGACAACGAGGACGACGCCGACGAGGAGGAGGAGGUGGAGGAAGAGGAGGAGGAAGAGGAGGAGGCACUCGCGGUACCAAAGAGAGUCACUGACCUCUCGACCGAUUAAAGUUCAGAGUGUGUGAUGUUUGAUGCUGCAGUGGUGCUUUAUGCGGAGGCGACGAAAAGGAGAGAAAGAGAAAGGAAGGUGGUGUUGGUGUUGGUGUUGAUAUUGGUAUUGGUUAGUUUAACUCUCAUUUAUGUUAGUUGUUCAUAUUCAAGUAUCGUUUUUAAAUUCUAAACGAGAACUCGCGUACCGUUAAUCAAGCACGGCAAAAGGAAAGAAAGAAAUUUUUAGUCGAUGCGUUUACCAAGAUGGAAGAA